GACGGCCUGGAUAGCACUGCCACCACCGGUGUUGAUGUCCCCCUCAAACCCAGGCAGAAGAGGGGUGACAACGUAGACACGUAUGGUGGCAGCACACCAGGGGCCUAUUAAAUGUGCCUCACCUUGGUGAAGUUCCAGCGCUGGAUGAAGUGUCUGGCGACGUCUCUGGCUGCCCUCCCAUGGACCACUGAGGCAAU